UUUGACAGCGACUCUCGCGGUCGCAAACGUUGACUUGUCUCAAUCCCCUCGGCAUCGAAUCGUCCAAACUUCCGACGUCUGCUAAAGGUUCGCUGGCGGUGGCCAAGUCGAAGAGCUGUGCGUGGAGUUGCGCUUGAACGAAGGCUAGCGGUGAGCGUGUGUCUCGAGGUGGGUAAAGGAAAGUUUCCGCCCCCGACUGGACCCGAGAUGCGCAGUACGUUAGAUGAACGGUUCUGGAAAAGAUCAUAGAAGCGAGGAAAGACGAAAAGGAAGCAAAUCCUCGGCGGUCAGCAGUCAGGCAGCGUUCUGCCAGGCAACCGCUGAUGACCCGGCAAACCUGGGAACAGCACUUGGCAAUCGAUCGCGGCAAGACAGGCAGGUAUGUCUCGAGAAUGAGAAGGCAAAGCCGUGUUCAACAAGACUUCUGAGAGAAGCGUGCGCGGUUCUUGUCGAUAAGGCCGUAGCGCGCCAAGGCAGAUUCAGAUUGCGCAUACCGGAUGGAGCAAUACGACAGAUUCUAGAUUGAGCAGCCGCUGGAGAACGGGACGCGCAGAGGCGUGCCAGGGAAGACAGAGAGUGGGAGUCGGGAAGAGAGAUAACGUGAGGUCUCGAUCAGGGAACUGCGGCGGUAGGACACCCUUCUCGGAUCUGCCGAUACCCGACACCACGCAGGAAGACGCGACUGAAGAUGCAUGGAACGUCUUCCACACGUUAGGUCUCGACAGUCUGCUGGCGCCACGAAAUACAGUGUCUGCAUCCGUUGUGGAAUGUGUCCUUUUUAUCCCUGUCGGCGUUGAGUAGGUACGGAAUCGUCUACGCAGCAUGCAUUCCUUUGUGCUGUGGGGUUCACCUUGCCUGUAGCUGAGGACAGGGAGGGACAGGGUUUCGCUGGACGCCGUUUUCUUUGUUCCUGUUCGUUCCUCUCUGCCUUGCCUCUCUCAUACCAGAGGUACUUGGCCGAUGUCUCAAAGCACAGUCCGGUCGUCAUUCCUCCAUUGUCACAAGACAGAGCCGUUCAGGGAUUCCGGCUUCGUUUCUGCCGACGCUGUGAAAAAGCGUCGCUAUCGGGGGCAUCCCUAUGUUCGUCAAUCGCUUCUCUGAACUGGAGCUUCCGUCUCCUCUUCUGUAGAACUCCCUUUUAUGCUUCUUCAGCCUCUUGUCAUUCGUUCUGUCGCCUUCGCGCCUCCGCUCUCCCUCUUUCUCGAUCUGUCGUGUUUUAAGGUCAAAUAGGCAUAUCUUCCUCUUGUUUUCCCGCGCUUCCUUCCAGUUGAUGCCCAAGGAGAAGAGACGAUAGGAUGAGUUCGCCGUGCGCGAGUUUGAAGCAGUGCACACUAACUGGAUCUAUGCGGCUGAAAUGAAGAGAGUUCGUCAUUUGAUCCCCUCGCGAGGAAGUGUUGACAACAUCGUUGCUACUGGGCUGAAGCGCGCGAAUCAGUCCGAAAAUGCAGUCUUUUCCCGUGCGUUUGAAGUGUAAACAGACAUAAGAGCACGGGCGUCCUUCUCGCACUGAUGCUGUCCGCCGGCCCCCCCCCCCCCCCCCCAUAUAGCAAGACGCUGCUCCGGUGGUUUUGGGUUUUUCCCUGGUGAGCAGACGAAAAGAGAGGCCAGAACUCGGGCUCUUGCGUUUGUGUGAAUCGCACGCGAGGCGCGUGCGUCGUGUUCGGAGGUCUUCGCUUCAAACUCGCGCAUAUUCAAAGCUUUUCUCGG
rnacentral:lncRNA from 1 species